UUCUUAACCUGGCAGGGGAAAUACCAUGAUCGCCAGGGUGGGUUUCCCAGGGCAAGGCUUAUCCAUUGCACCUCAGCAGUGCUGAUCCCUGCGAUUUCCCCAAAUGUGGGAAACUCUACCAAAUAACUUGGUAGGGGGACAACAUUUGUGCUCUCUCUAA